GCCAGGCACUGUGGCGAAUGCCUGUAAUCCAGAGACUUGGGAGGCUGAGGCAGGAAGAUCAGCAACUUAGUGAGGCCUCAAGCAACUCAGCAAGGCCUUGUCUUUA
rnacentral:sRNA from 1 species